UACAUGGGGUGCAAACGUUGCUCGGAAUUAUUGGGCGUAAAGCGCACGUAGGCGGUUCGUUAAGUCGGAUGUGAAAGCCCUCGGCUCAACUGAGGAAGUGCACCCGAAACUGGCGAGCUUGAGUACGAAAAGAGGAUCGCGGAAUUCCCGGUGUAGAGGUGAAAUUCGUAGAUAUUGGGAAGAACACCGGGUGGCGAAGGCGGCUCACUGGCUCAUUACUGAGCUCAGGCGCGAUAGCGUGGGGGAUCAAAACAGG
rnacentral:rRNA from 1 species